AUCUUUGGAGCAGAUUCUGAGAGUAUGGCACGAAGGACAUCGGACAUGGGUUGGCUGGACACACAAUUUCAACGUUAGGGUCAACAGAGAUGUGUUGAUCCGUUUACACUCUCAUGAGAUCCAGCUUCACAUACUUAACAGCAGAACCAAAGGUUUUCAUCACUCACAGUUUGACACACUUAGAACUUUUCAAAUACCAUGUUAUCACCUUGAUGAUGAGACAAAUGUGGUGUCAUCGAGGCUAUGGUACUCAAACAUAAAACCUCAUUUGAGAUGAAGGCAAACAAACCAAAAAACACAGAAGUGAAAUACAGGUUGAACAUGACUCACAAGUUGGCAUAGAAAUGGCAAAUAACCUGGCUGCUCUGAAUCAAACUUGUGCUUUCAACCAUGAGAAUAUCAUUAAGAAGGGCAGUGUGUCAGUUACAAUCAGUCCCAUGCCUU